UAUAUGAGGGUGGAUAAAUCAUCUUGUAGAUCUCCUGGAACAAGUGCCCCUUAAAUCACAUUUUCUAGAUGGCCAAGUACAUGAGUCCCAUCCAUUCGAGAGUCCUUCUGCAGGCUCUACUUCUACUCAUAUGCCUUGCUACAACUACACAAUGUCGAAUCAUCACCUACGGCAUAGAUGAUGAGAAGAUCAAUUUACCAUAUGGGUUGUGUGCUGAUAAAAAGUUCGCUAAACCCUAUUGUUUCUUAUUGACCACUUUGUGUUACUGGACGGUCGAUGAAUGCAAAAGUAAAUGCAAAUAGAAGAAGUAAUGUGUGAUCCGGAAAAAUAUUUGAAAUAAAAAAGUAUCUCGGUUGUGAUUUUA